rnacentral:rRNA from 1 species
UACGUAGGGUGCGAGCGUUAAUCGGAAUUACUGGGCGUAAAGCGUGCGCAGGCGGUUCGUUGUGUCGGUGGUGAAAGCCCCGGGCUCAACCUGGGAAUGGCCGUUGAAACUGGCGAACUGGAGUGUGGCAGAGGGGGGGUGGAAUUCCGCGUGUAGCGGUGAAAUGCGUAGAGAUCCGGAAGAACACCGGUGGCGAAGGCGGUCUGCUGGGCAGUUGCUGACACUGAGGCGCGACAGCGUGGGGAGCAAACAGG